rnacentral:piRNA from 1 species
UGAGUAAAUGGUGAACAAGAAAGGAA